CGUGAGAUGUGGGUUAAGUCCGCAACGAGCGCAACCCUGCUGCCAGUUGCAACGGGUAGAGCCGGGCGACUCUGGCGGGACUGCCAUCGACAAGAUGGAGGAAGGUGGGGGAUGACGUCAAGUCAUCAUGGCCCUUAUGUCCAGGGCGACACACGUGCUACAAUGGCCGGCACAGCGGGAAGCGAGGCAGUGAUGCCGAGCGGAUCCCUUAAAGCCGGUCUCAGUUCGGAUUGAAGUCUGCAACUCGACUUCAUGAAGCUGGAAUCGCUAGUAAUCGCAGAUCAGCCAAGCUGCGGUGAAUACGUUCCCGGGCCUU
rnacentral:rRNA from 1 species